GACGAACCGUGCGAACGUUGUUCGGAAUCACUGGGCUUAAAGGGCGCGUAGGCGGCUUGCAAAGUCAGGGGUGAAAGCCUCCAGCUUAACUGGAGAAGUGCCUUUGAUACUGGCAAGCUCGAGGGAGGUAGGGGCAGAUGGAACUUCCGGUGGAGCGGUGAAAUGCGUUGAUAUCGGAAGGAACGCCGGUGGCGAAAGCGAUCUGCUGGACCUCUUCUGACGCUGAGGCGCGAAAGCUAGGGUAGCGAACGGG
rnacentral:rRNA from 1 species